GCACACUGCAAACAGAAGCAACCCUUUCUUCUCUGUAGCCAGUUGGAUUGCCAAAUGCUCCUCCUCCACUCCUGGUCCUUCAUGUUCCUCUAAAGAAGACCUCCCAGUUCUCUUCUGCCUUGUUCGUGACCCAAAAGAGGCCUUUUAAUGGAAGUGUUCCUAGCAGAUCACCUCUUGGUCUUCUCCAUCAAUUACUAACUGUGACUCCUGCCGCUCCAUAGUAUAAAUGGCGAUAUUGGGUGAAUAGCUCCGAUACGUUUAUUGAUCUGAAUAUCAGGGUGUUAUCAAAGUCUACUGGAUUGUAUCACAGAUUUAGGGCUCUAAUUUAAUGACAUUUCUGAAAGAGCGAAAUACCCACAUCCCUGUCUCUCCCCGACAACUGGCAAAAACGGGGAACGCAGCUCUGAACACGAUCAAAUCAAGGGUGUCGACUCAGAGUGAGAUCGUACAGCUUCAAAAGUAAUGUCGAUCUGCUCGCAACUUCACGCAAACCCAGCAGAGCCCCCAGCAGGACCCCCACGUACCCGCCUCUCAAUCCGGAGUUCGGGACGGGGGAGCACCCCUACCCGGGUCCUUCCCGCCGGCCGCCCGGAAAGCCCGGAGCGCGGAAGCGGAGCGACCCUCGGCAGCCGGGGGACGGGCAUGCUCAGUAGACCCGCAGGUCUGGUUUCACUCGGAAGCCAGCCGCGGACCCCGCCCCCUCCCGCCCCGCACGGGCGCCCGGAGAAGCGGACAUUUUAACCUUCUCUGCCAUCCGCUCCCUCUUUCGUGUCCUUCGCCCCCUGUCUGAGUCCUUCCACCUCUCGCCCAUCGGGGUCUGGGGACAUUAACUUGAAGAAAAUCAGCUGUUUGCCAAGAAAGGAGGGCUUGGAUGAAAGAGGAUGAAAGGAAGCUUGUCUCACUUGCAGGAGGAGGAAACGCAGCAAUGCACAAAUAGUCUCUUGUCUAUCAAAGCCAGCUCCAAACAAUCAUCGUAAUGUCCAGACUUGGGGGAGGAGCAGGGGAGCCAGCGCCCGUUUGGUCAGCUCCUGAGUGUGCUGAGCGUAAAGGCUGGACACUCGACGUGGCUUUGCAGAGAGGACAGUUAACCUGACCCAGCCUUCACACGGGACUGCAUCUGCCACAGAUGAUCUAUUUCAGAUCUUGCCACUUUUCAAAUGCCAGCAAGGUCAGCAACGGCACCAUUUCACCAGCACCAUCAUCAUCAGUUCUGAUAAAAAAUGUCCCAUAUCCACUACCGACUGCAGUAUAGUCUCCAAGUGGUAGAUUGUGGGUCAUGGACUGGGUCUGGAAGAGGCCUUACUAGAAAACUGAGACUCCAAGAGGCGAGAUGUACACUCAGCUACAGGAGCUGGGAAGGAGCUGCGGGAUCUCCCCAGCACCCCAGGACCCCGGCACAGACCCGGCACAGAGGAGGUCCUCUGUAAACGCUUGUUGCAUGAUCGCGUCUGUUGAUGAAUGAAUGAGUCAAAUCCUGCCCACAGUGCACAUAUAGUUCCAUGCCCUGGACUUCAUCCUAGUCAAUGAAAAUCUAUUAGGAGGGGGUUCAUCUUGUUAAUAUAAUGAACGGAAUAUUUCACAAAACUUUCUAACUAUAGAAAAGUCUGCUUGGGAUCUUUAAUAUAGUGUAGUUGGGUAGUAGGUUUUUAUUAAUACACAAGAGAAAAUAUUAGCUAGGAGAAUCACACACACACACAAACUGAAGAAAGAAAGAAAAGUAUUAGAACUCAUAAUCAAUGUUUAGCACAGUCCAAUAGAAACACCCAGAAGCUGCCUGCCCUGGGAUGGUACAUUCCAUCCACUUAUCAAACAUCUACUAUGUGCCAGGAAAUAAAGAAUGGAUAAUCACAGCCCUGCAGGAACCAGGGAGAGCCAGCACACAUGCCUUUUACCUGGUGUGGCACUUAUGAGCUUACUGGCUCCACUGAGGGGCACCGCUGGUGGCUGCGAGAGAGAGAUUUCAAAACCCCCAGAGACACUAGCUUGCGGGUUGGGACUCAAAGCCAGGUUUCAGGUGCACCAGGCUCUAACUCAGCCCAGAUUGCUUCCCAGAGUCCUCAGGAGAUGGCAUCAAUUUCUCCCCAGGAAUCCAGGUUGGGCAGAGGACAGGUGGCAGGAGGCCUGGGGUGGUAGCAUGCAGGGCAGACUGAUAUCAAGACCACCUGGGGAGACACUUCACACUGUGGCUCUCGGCUGGACGGUCAUAAAGAGAUCCAGUGCUGAGUUGGUGUCAGGUGCUGCAUGACUCACCGAAUCCUGGUAACAGACCUGCGAAGUAGGAGCUGUUAAACCCCUGUGGACAGGUGAUGAAUCCAAGGCUCAGAAAGCUUAAGUAACUUGUCCAAGGUCACACAGGAGGAAGUGCUGGAGCUGAGGUUCUUUCCCAGGCUGGGGACUCCACAGCUCAUGUCUUUUUUUUUUUUUUUUUUUAAUUGAGUUGUGAUUUACAUACAGUAAAAUUGACCAUUUUCAAUGGUGUACAGUUCUGUGAGCAAAUGCAUACAGUUGUAUAACCACCACCCCUAUCAACAUAUAGAACAUGUCUAUCACCCUCGAAAAUUCCUUUGGAUCCCUUUAUAAUUAAUUCCCUCCUUCGCUUCACUCACAGCCCUGGGCAUCUAGUCAUCCAUUUUCUGUCUGUUUUGCCUUUUCCAGAAUGUCAUUUACAAGGAAUCAUAUAGGUUUUUGAGACUGGCUCCUUUCACUUAGCAAAAUACAUUUGAGAUUCAUUCUUCUUCUGUUGCUCCAUACCUCUGUUGUUUGUUCCUUUUUAUUGAUGAGUUCUAUUACAUUUUAUGGACAUGUCAUGCUUUGUUUCCACGUAGUAGUUGAAGGACGUUUGGGUGGUGCCCAACUUGGGGGGAUUCUGAAUAAGGGGGCAUAAACAUCUGUGCACAGGCCUUCAUGUGAACUGAAGUGUUCAUUUCUCUUGGGUGAAUACCUAGGGGUGGGACUGCAUGGCUCAUGCUUCUCACCAGGUCUAUGAUGCUACAGAACUGGAUAUUCAGGACUCGGGAGAUGCUAACAGCCCCUGCUGUUCGAG
ensembl:lncRNA